rnacentral:rRNA from 1 species
UACGGAGGGGGCUAGCGUUGUUCGGAAUUACUGGGCGUAAAGCGCGCGUAGGCGGCUUUGUAAGUUAGAGGUGAAAGCCUGGAGCUCAACUCCAGAACUGCCUUUAAGACUGCAUCGCUAGAAUCGUGGAGAGGUGAGUGGAAUUCCGAGUGUAGAGGUGAAAUUCGUAGAUAUUCGGAAGAACACCAGUGGCGAAGGCGACUCACUGGACAGGUAUUGACGCUGAGGUGCGAAAGCGUGGGGAGCAAACAGG